GUGGGGUAACGGCCUACCAAGGCUAUGACGGGUAGCUGACGUGAGAGCGUGAGCAGCCACACUGGGACUGAGACACGGCCCAGACUCCUACGGGAGGCAGCAGUGGGGAAUAUUGCGCAAUGGGCGAAAGCCUGACGCAGCGACGCCGCGUGGGGGAGGAAGGCCUUAGGGUUGUAAACCCCUGUCAGGUGGGACGAACCCCGGGUCGGUGAAUAAUCGGCUCGACUGACGGUACCACCAGAGGAAGCUCCGGCUAACUCCGUGCCAGCAGCCGCGGUAAUACGGAGGGAGCGAGCGUUGUUCGGAAUCACUGGGCGUAAAGGGCGCGUAGGCGGCCGAGUAAGUCGUGUGUGAAAGACCGGGGCUCAACUCCGUGUACUGCAUGCGAUACUGCCCGGCUAGAGAAAGGUAGAGGCGAGUGGAAUUCCCGGUGUAGCGGUGGAAUGCGUAGAUAUCGGGAAGAACACCUGUGGCGAAGGCGGCUCGCUGGGCCUUUUCUGACGCUGAAGUGCGAAAGCGUGGGGAGCAAGCAGGAUUAGAUACCCUGGUAGUCCACGCCGUAAACGAUGGGCACUAGGCGUUGGGAGGAUUGACCCUCUCAGUGCCGUAGCUAACGCGUUAAGUG
rnacentral:rRNA from 1 species